rnacentral:lncRNA from 1 species
CAGGUUCCGGGGAUUAGGAUGUAGACAUCUGUGGGGAGGGGGCAAUCAUUAUUCUGCCAGCCAGAGGAAGUUUGUCCACAUUGUGGGGAUUUCUAUGCCAACAGAAAUAUCAACGCUGUUUGCACUAUAAUUUACUUUUUGAGCUUCUGACAUUUACCCAGCUGACUGUCUUUGGAGAACAAUCUCUUGACUGAGAAGCACUCUAGACAGUUUUCAAAGUUGAGAUUUCCUUAUUACUUCAGUUAGCAACUAAGUGUUGAGUGUCUACUGUUUGUCUGUCCAUGGAUGAUCCACUUCUCAGGCAUGGGGGCCAUGUGGCUUUAAUCUCUGUGUGCGGAGCUCCAAGCUAAGGGACUGGCACAGCACACCAAAUAGGUUACAGAAGAUUUGCAGAGAAAAUGCAAGCUAUAUUUUUUUUCUUCUACAUAUCCAGAAGGUGCCGUUUUAUCUCAAAUUUGGGAAGACAUUGACAAUCAUUCCUCUGCUCACAUCAUAUGAUAAUGGAAGAAUUGCAUUGCUUUGUAAAACCUAGUUCUACAUUAAAUGCCACAGAAGAUCCCUUCCGAUCAGAAAAGGGAGUUGAAGUGGAAAAAAGACUUGAUUCAGAAAAUUGUGGAAGAGACAUGUCUGUACAUAACACUGAGAAAUUGAGAUCAUAAGGACGCAAAGAAAUUAAUUAUAUCAUUCAAUUAUUCCUCGCACAGUCUUCAUAUUAUCUUAUAUACAUGAAUAUGUAUUUUUUAUUAAAACAUCUUAGAAGAAAAAUGUAUAUACACACACAGACCCAUACAUCUAUUCUAUUGUAGAAAGUGGGAGAAGAAUAAUGUUCUUGAUUAAAAUAUAAAUUUAUUCUAUACUAUUAUUAAGAUCUUUUGCUUUUCAACACAGAGCCCUACUUGACCACCCAAAGAACUUGUACGAGAAAGAAAGUUUCAGAGUUCUUCAUUGUCA